AUGCACUUUAUCCAGUCUAUCCUCUCUGUUUUAUGCCUCAGUAUGUGAUAUGAUGAUUUCGCAGUAAAAUCUCCAUAAGUGCUCCCCUCCACCAUGAUUUAUCAUUAAUAUCAUUAAUGACCGUUUUAAUAUUCUCUCCUAUGUGAGUUGCCAUAUCCUUUGAAACAUGUUCUAGCAAUUUCUCCAUCUUCCAGGAGAUAUUCCAAAUAAAAUCCUUCAC
rnacentral:lncRNA from 1 species